rnacentral:snRNA from 1 species
AGAUUCAUAAAACACCGGCCACU